rnacentral:rRNA from 1 species
GAUGAACGCUGGCGGCGUGCCUAAUACAUGCAAGUCCAGCGAACAGACGAGGAGCUUGCUCCUCUGACGUUAGCGGCGGACGGGUGAGUAACACGUGGAUAACCUACCUAUAAGACUGGGAUAACUUCGGGAAACCGGAGCUAAUACCGGAUAAUAUAUUGAACCGCAUGGUUCAAUAGUGAAAGACGGUUUUGCUGUCACUUAUAGAUGGAUCCGCGCCGCAUUAGCUAGUUGGUAAGGUAACGGCUUACCAAGGCAACGGUGCGUAGCCGACCUGAGAGGGUGAUCGGCCACACUGGAACUGAGACACGGUCCAGACUCCUACGGGAGGCAGCAGUAGGGAAUCUUCCGCAAUGGGCGAAAGCCUGACGGAGCAACGCCGCGUGAGUGAUGAAGGUCUUCGGAUCGUAAAACUCUGUUAUUAGGGAAGAACAAAUGUGUAAGUAACUAUGCACGUCUUGACGGUACCUAAUCAGAAAGCCACGGCUAACUACGU